rnacentral:rRNA from 1 species
GCCUUUCUAGAGGGGGGAAACAUUUGGAAACAAAUGCUAAUACCGCAUAAGAUUACAGUACCGCAUGAUACAGUGAUCAAAGGAGCAAUCCGCUGAAAGAUGGGCUCGCGUCCGAUUAGAUAGUUGGUGAGGUAACGGCUCACCAAGUCGACGAUCGGUAGCCGGACUGAGAGGUUGAACGGCCACAUUGGGACUGAGACACGGCCCAG